GAUGAACGCUGGCGGCGUGCCUAAUACAUGCAAGUCGAGCGAACAGACGAGGAUCUUGCUCCUCUGACGUUAGCGGCGGACGGGAGAUUAACACGUGGAUAACCUACCUAUAAGACUGGGAUAACUUCGGGAAACCGGAGCUAAUACCGGAUAAUAUAUUGCACCACAUGGUUCAAUAGUGAAAGACGGUUGUUCUGUCAGUUAUAGAUUGAUCCGCGCCGCAUUAGCUAGUUGGUAAGGUAACGGCUUACCAAGGCAACGAUGCGUAGCCGACCUGAGAGCGUGAUCGGCCACAUGGGAACUGAGACACGGUACCGACUCCUACGGGAGGAAGCAGUAGGGAAUCUUACGCAAAGGGGGAAAGGCUGACGGAGGAACGUCGCGUGAGUGAUGAAGGUCCUCGGAUCGUAAAACUAUGUUAUUCGGGAAGAACAAAUGUGUAAGUAACUAUGCACGUCUUGACGGUACCUAAUCAGAAAGCCACGGCUAACUACGUG
rnacentral:rRNA from 1 species